UACGGAGGGUGCAAGCGUUGCUCGGAAUUAUUGGGCGUAAAGGGUAGGUAGGUGGUCUCGUUUGUCUGAGGUGAAAGCCCUGGGCUUAACUCAGGAAGUGCCUCAGAAACGGCGAGACUGGAGUCCUGGAGAGGGUCGUGGAAUUCCCGGUGUAGCGGUGAAAUGCGUAGAGAUCGGGAGGAACACCAGAGGCGAAGGCGGCGGCCUGGACAGGAACUGACACUCAACUACGAAAGCGUGGGGAUCAAACAGG
rnacentral:rRNA from 1 species